AUAUAUAUAUAUAUAUAUAUAUAUAUAUAUAUAAUCCAUAAUAUGAUUCUUUAUAUAUGUUCAUAUUUGAUACCAAGGUUACUUUCAACAAGAUGACCUCCAACAGUAGCUAAUAGAUGGCCUCCAGAUCCUGUAGAAACACCAAAAGCAUGACUUGUAGCCAUCCUGUUCAUCAAAAAAAGGGGUAGAUAAUGAACAGUUGGUAGACUAAGAAACAAUGGUUGAUAUUUAUAAAAAUUCUUAUACUCAUGUCAUUCUUGAAUUGAUUUUCUCUAUUUUGUUAUUCAUUUAAGGUCUUUGUAAUGUUUUUCGUCUCUGUUCCAACUACAACUAUAUAAGAACUCAUAUGCAAUAUAGCUUAAUAGAUUAAGUCAUGUCUCAUGUUCCUGGCUAUUAAUAAUUACUUACUUGAUACAUACAGGUAAUGGUGAUGGAAUUGGGAAGACACAAAAUAAGGGUAAACUCCAUAUCUCCAGGGAUUUUCAAGUCCGACCCUAUUGAGCAACUUUUGCAAAAUAAAUGGCUUAAAAAUGUGGUUUCCAAGGUCAUGCCAUUGAGAGAAUUGGCUGUUAUCGAAGGGUGCAAUCGAACAGCUGGAAUCAGAGCUUAGAUGAUCUACUUCCAAUUCAAAUCUCUCCUCCAUGUAAUAGGUGAGUAUAAAGAAAACAUGAUUGCUGAUGUGGAUGGAUGCCAGUGGUAGGCCAGUCAUAAGGUACCUCGGUGGAUCAUGGGAAAGCGAAAGCGUGAUCAUGCACCUCCUCAUAUUUUGAUUUUACAAUUUUGGGAUUUCUCUGAUGUGGAACUUAUUUUGAAAACAAGUUGUAAUAAAUGAUGGUUUUGUGGUUGUUUAAAAAGUUUGAAAUUUUCAAGAAAUUUACGAUUGUUACAUUUCACUUUCUUGAAAUGAUAAUAAACUUUUUGUUAUUCAA